rnacentral:rRNA from 1 species
UACGGAGGGUGCAAGCGUUAAUCGGAAUUACUGGGCGUAAGGGUGCGUAGGCGGCCACGCACGUCCGUUGUGAAAUCGCCCGGCUCAACUGGGCGGGGUCAGCGGAUACGGUGUGGCUCGAGCAAGCUAGGGGGCAAUGGAAUUCCCGGUGUAGUGGUGGAAUGCGUAGAUAUCGGGAGGAACACCAGUGGCGAAGGCGGUUGCCUGGAGCUUUGCUGACGCUGAGGCGCGAAAGCGUGGGGAGCGAUCCGG